CCGGCGCACGGGUGAGUAACACGUAUGCAACCUGGCCGUCACAGGUGGAUAACCGGAAGAAAUUCCGACUAAUACAGCAUAACACUCCUGAGGGACAUCCUUCUGGAGUCAAAGGAGGCAACUCCGGUGACGGAUGGGCAUGCGGCGCAUUAGGUAGUUGGUAGGGUAACGGCCUACCAAGCCGACGAUGCGUAGGGGUUCUGAGAGGAAGGUCCCCCACAUUGGAACUGAGACACGGUCCAAACUCCUACGGGAGGCAGCAG
rnacentral:rRNA from 1 species